rnacentral:lncRNA from 1 species
UUUUUUUUUUUUCUUCUGAUUGAGACUUCUGGAGCCAGUAUGACUUGUGUUCAAAUCCCAACUAGAUCACCUGCCAGUUGGGUGACCUUGGAUAAUCCACCUUUCUCACUGAGUUUUUGGUUUAUUCAUCUAUAAAAAUGGACGUGUUUUCUUCUUUAUUUGAAAAAAUUCUUUCUGAAUGACUGUGAUAGGCAAACAGUUAAUGUCCUUAAAAUAUAAAGAGUUCAUCUAAAACAACAAGAAAUAUGCAAAGACAGAAACAUAAGUGGAUGGGGUCAUGAACAGAUAAUUCAAAAAAAUGAAAUACAAGCAGCUAAUAGACAUUUCAAAACGUGUUCGAUAUCAUUAAUUAUAAAAAUGAAAAUUAAAUAAGUAAAGCACAUUUUGAUUAUAAAAAGCCACUGCAGUUUUAAUCUAUAAUAAUUAGUAUUACAAGGACAUGGGGAGAUAGACAAUCCCAGCUUGAUUGUUAGGAAUGCUUUUUGGAACACAAUUUGGCAACAGCUUGUACCAACAGCUUUGACAAGGCUGGUACACUUUGACCUAGUAAUUUCACUUCUAGGAAUCUGUUUGAAGGAUAUAAUCAAAGAUGAGGUCAAAGAUUAGUAUUCACAGAUCUUCAGAACACUCAUAAAAGAGUUCUUAAUAGGAAGUUUUCAGAAACAGAAAUCUAAAUGACCAUGAGUAAAAGACUACUUCAAUUUGUAUGAUGCAUCCUUAAAGUGGAAUUGUGUGGCUGAUAAAAAUAAUAUUUUCAAAGAUAAUUAAUAAUAUAAUGAUUAUAACGCGAUGCUUGUUGAUAAGUAAGCAUUGUAUAAACUGGAACACCAACUUUAGGCAUCUCUGUUUCUUUACAUUUAUAUAUAUCAUUGGAAAAAAGACUGAGAAAUAAUCAUAUCAAAAUGUUAUAGUAGUAAUUUGAAAGGUUAUUUUAUUUUAUUUUAUUUUUUUAAUGUGUUCUAUAUUUUUCACAAUAAACAACCGUUACUUUUAAAAUCAUAAAAUAGGGAGUUCCAGUCGUGGCGCAGUGGAAACAAAUCUUACUAGGAACCAUGAGGUUGUGGGUUUGAUCCCUGGCAUCGCUCAGUGGGUUAAGGAUCUGGCAUUGCCAUGAGCUGUGGUGUAGGUCACAGAUGCGGCUUGGACCUGGUGUUGCUGCGGCUGUGGCGUAGGCCAGUGGCUACAGCUCCGAUUAGAUCCCUAGCCUGGGAACCUCCAUAUGCCAUGGGUGCAGCCCUAAAAAGACAAAAGUAAAAAAAUAAAAAAAUUAAAAUAAAUAAAAUCGUAAAAUAAAACUAUUUAAAAGUCACAAUUAUGCUGUUUGAGCCAGUAACUUUUUUCUCCAAUCUAUCCUAAAAAAUUUAGAGAAAGAUGUUGGUACAAAUAUAUUAUUGAGUCAUUAUUUAUAAUUUCAAGAUAUAAAACAGAUGUCCAGCCAUUGGGGAAAAGUUAAAAAAGUCGUUGUAUAUCCAUAUAACGGGGCAUUGUGAAGGCACUACAGAUGCUUUUCCAGAAUUUUAAUGUCUCAAAAUAUUUUUGUUAUAUAGGUCAUCAAGAAUGGGAAAUUGUAUAUACAAUGUGGUAUCACAUAGAUUUAAAAUGAUUAUAAAAACUGAAAUGUAUACACGUAGUGCUAAUGGUUAUAUUUUUGUCAUUAGAUAAUAGACGAUUUUUUACCUCCCUGUACUUUUUUUUGCUUUUUAGGGCUGCAACCAUGGCAUAUGAAAGUUCCCAGGAUAGUAGUCGAAUCGGAGCAGCAGCUGCUGGCCUACACCACAGCAAUGUGGGAUCUGAGCUGCAUCCGUGACCUACACCACAGCUCAUGGCCACACAGGUUCCUUAACCCACUGAGCAAGGCCAGGGAUUGAACCCACAUCCUCAUGGAUACUAGUCAGAUUCAAAAGAAAAAAAAAAAAAACAGGAAAAAAGAACAAUGGAGAAAGGGUGUGAGAGGAAAUAAAACUCCUAUGUUGGGGAAUGCAGCUAAUGAUAAUUAUCUCACAAGAUUGUUGGGAAGAUUAGAUGAGGAAGCAGAUGUGAAUGUGACUAGCACAGUGCCUGGCACACAAUAGGUGCUUAAUUGACGAACAUUCAUCCCUCCCUCUCCCUUUAUCCCACACCCAUUUUCCCCAUGCUGCACCCUGUGUGCCAUUGGCAGUCUGUCCCACUCUGCUUCGCUCAAGUAGCAUUUGUCUCCCCAGUGGUUCUGUUGGCCCAAGAGGACUGAAUAGAUUUCUUCUCACAGCUCUACCUUCUGGGCAAGGAGCUCCAGGCAACCUUGAUGGCCAGGGACAGAGGAAUAGGGAUGACACCUGCUUCCCUCCAUCCACAUAACCAUGCAUGAAGUCUCCUCUCAGGGGUGACAUCUAGGGAAAUCAGCUUUGCAUGGACUAAAGGAGUGAGAAGUGAGUUUCCUUGUAAAUGGAGAGCUCACGUCUCCUCUUUCUACACCCCAGUCUAGAAGAACACCCAGGCAUAGAAGGUUGGGGAAAAAAGGGUAUGGUUGAAUGGCCCCAGAAAAGGUUCCAUGCCAACCAUUCCUCCCUCACUGAUAAAGUGUUCCUCCAUUAGAGCUAAAUGAUGGUUCAGAAAUGUUCUUUCUAGGUAGAUUCCUUUUGAGGGACGAAUGUAUUAAGUCUCUGGUCCCUCAAUAUGCACAUGUUUAUCAGUUCCCCUACAGAAGGCAUGUGUGUGACACUCCCAGCAUAUGACAGCUGUGCGGGGAACCACUGAGGACAGGCAUAUCUGGGGAUACGGGUCCGGGAACUUUCCAUCAGUAAACAUGUAAUGAGUCUCCUACUGUGUGCCAUGCACUAUUGGAUCAUAGAAGCUAUAGACCGACAAAGGCAAGGUCUGGUCUUCAAGUCUCCUACUCUAAAAAUGGAGAAAUAAGACAAACUUGUGGAAAAGGUGGCAAGAAUAUAAAGCGGGAAAGUCUCUUCAGCAAGCGGUGCUGGGAAAACUGGACAGCUGCAUGGAAAGCAAUGAAAUUAGAACACACUCUCACACCACGCAUAAAAAUAAAAUGACUCAAGGAUGUAAAUAUAAGACAUAAUACAAUAAAACUCCUAAAAGGGAACUUAGGCAAAACAUUCUCUGACAUAAACCACACAAAUGUCAUAUUAGGUCAGUCUCCCAAGGCAAGAGCAAUAAAAACAGAAAUAAACAAAUGAGACCUACUCAAACUUACAAGAUUUUGCACAGCAAAGGAAACUAUAAAAAGAAAAAUGAAAAGGCAACCUAUGGAAUGGGAGAAAAUAGCUGCAAAUGAUGCAGUCGACAAGGCUUAAUUCCCAAAAUAUACAAACAACUCAUACAACUCAACAACAAAAAACCAAACAACCAAAAUGACAAAAUGAGCAGAAGACCUAAAUAGACAUUUCCCCAAAGAAGACAUACAGAUGUGCCAAAAGGCCCAUGAAAAGAUGCUCAACAUCACUAAUUAUUAGAAAAAUGAAAAUCGAAACUACAAUGAGGUACCACUUUACAACAGCCAGAAUGGCCAUCAUUAAUAAGUCUACAAAGAACAAAUGCUGGAGAGGGUGUGGAUAAAAGGGAACCCUCCUAUACUGUUGGUGAGAAUGUAAAUUGGUACAACCACUAUAGAAAACAGUAUGGAGGUACCUCAGAAAACUAAAUAUAGAACUGCCAUAUGACCCAGCCAUUCCACUCUUGGGUAUAUAUCUGGACAAAACUUUCCUUGAAAAAAAGACACAUGCACCCGUAUAUUCAUUGCAGCACUGUUAGCAAUAGCAAAGACCUGGAAACCACCUAAAUGUCCAUCGACAGAUGAAUGGAUUAAGAAGAUGUGGUACAGGAGUUCCCGUUGUGGCUCAGUGGUUAACGAAUCUGACUAGGAACCAUGAGAUUGCUGGUUCGAUCCCUGGCCUUGCUCAGUGGGUUAAGGAUCUGACGUUGCCAUAAACUGUGGUGUAGGUUGCAGACGUGGCUUGGAUCCUGCGUUGCUGUGGCUCUGGUGUAGACCAGUGGCUACAGCUCCAAUUGGACCCCUAGCCUGGUAACCUCCAUAUGCCG